AACGAACGCUGGCGGCAUGCCUAACACAUGCCAGUCGAACGAGACCUUCGGGUCUAGUGGCGCACGGGUGCGUAACGCGUGGGAACCUGCCCUUAGGUUCGGAAUAACUCCCCGAAAGGGGUGCUAAUACCGGAUAAUGUCUUCGGACCAAAGAUUUAUCGCCUUUGGAUGGGCCCGCGUUGGAUUAGCUAGUUGGUAGGGUAAAAGCCUACCAAGGCGACGAUCCAUAGCUGGUCUGAGAGGAUGAUCAGCCACACUGGGACUGAGACACGGCCCAGACUCCUACGGGAGGCAGCAGUGGGUAAUAUUGGACAGUGGGCGAAAGCCUGAUCCAGCAAUGCCGCGUGAGUGAUGAAGGCCUUAGGGUUGUAAAGCGCUUUUACCCGGGAUGAUAAUGACAGUACCGGGAGAAUAAGCUCCGGCUAACUACGUG
rnacentral:rRNA from 1 species